rnacentral:SRP_RNA from 1 species
GCUGGGUGUAGAGGCGCACACCUGUAAUCCCAGCUACUUGGGAGGCUGAGGCAGAAGAAUCACUUGAACCUGGGAGGCAGAGGUUGCAGUGAGCCGAGAUGGCACCACUGCACUCCAGCCUGGGUGACAGAGUGAGACCCUGUCUCAA